UCGAGCGAAUGGAUUNAGAGCUUGCUCUYANGAAGUUAGCGGCGGACSSGUGAGKAACACGUGGGUAACCUGCCCAUAAGACUGGGAUAACUCCGGGAAACCGGGGCUAAUACCGGAUAAUAUUUUGAACUGCRUGGUUCGAAAUUGAAAGGCGGCUUCGGCUGUCACUUAUGGAUGGACCCGCGUCGCAUUAGCUAGUUGGUGAGGUAACGGCUCACCAAGGCRACGAUGCGUAGCCGACCUGAGAGGGUGANMGGCCACACUGGRACUGAGACACGGMMMAGACUCCNNCGGGAGGCAGCAGUAGGGAAUCUUCCGCAAUGGACGAAAGUCUGACGGAGCAACGCCGCGUGANUGAUGAAGGCUUUCGGGUCGUAAAACUCUGUUGUUAGGGAAGAACAAGUGCUAGUUGAAUAAGCUGGCACCUUGACGGUACCUAACCAGAAAGCCACGGCUAACUACGUGCCAGCAGCCGCGGUAAUACGUAGGUGGCAAGCGUUAUCCGGAAUUAUUGGGCGUAAAGCGCGCGCAGGUGGUUUCUUAAGUCUGAUGUGAAAGCCCACGGCUCAACCGUGGAGGGUCAUUGGAAACUGGGAGACUUGAGUGCAGAAGAGGAAAGUGGAAUUCCAUGUGUAGCGGUGAAAUGCGUAGAGAWAUGGAGGAACACCAGUGGNGAAGGCGACUUUCUGGUCUGUAACUGAMACUGAGGCGCGAAAGCGUGGGGAGCAAAMAGGAUUAGAUMCCCUGUAGUCCACGCCGUAAACGAUGAGKGCUWAGUGUUAGAGGGUUUCC
rnacentral:rRNA from 1 species